GUCCUUAAUCUAUUCAUAUUCAUGUUAGUUGUUUGAAGAUCAUGGGUGUUGGUGGAAUCUGACAAACAUAGCAUGCAACAUGAGAGGUUCAGGAGUUUAGUUCAUUGCUUUUGUUUUUUAUUUUCAUUUUAAUGAUGCCUGGAUUAUAUCCUUCUUACUGUGUAAGGUGCCUGUUCUGAGCAUACAAUUUUCCCUGUACAAGCUUGGGAAUUGAAGAGGGGUGGGAUUCACCAAAAACCAUAACCAAACCAUGAAAGCGGAGAUGCAUAUCCAAUGUAAUUUUAUUCUGUGUCUAUAGAUUUUGUUUUUACUAGUUUUUUGAGUCUUCAACAUCUGUCCAUCCUUUGAAGUAUAUGCAUAAUGGAGUUUUUGAAUGCAAGGAUCCAAACUAAGACAGAUAGAGAUUUGGUUUCUAAAAUUCAUAAUUUUGGGCCUUUAGUUUUUGGAACUUUUGGACCUAUGGAAGGUAAGGUGUACUGAUCUUGAAUCCCAAAGGGCCAAUUUACUCCACCUUGUGAUAACAUUUUAAGGUAUUGUUCCCCCCUUGAUCCUUAAUAAUGAAGCGAUAGGUCUACUCUAUUUUGAAAUCCUAACCCACAUCAAGCCUUUUCUGGGAGUAACUAAUGUGGGUGUGGUCAAUCAAGUGGACUCAUUGGGAAUUCCAAGUUAAACUUAACUAUGAAACUUGAGGCAUGAAACAUGAUUAAGCUUCUUUUUCCCAUGCUCAAGCUCAAUUUGAGAAAACAACUGAUGUACCUGAACUUGAUUUGAUUAGUUUAAAUGAUUUACUAUAUAUAUGAUUUUAUGUAUGCAUAUUAUAUGCAAUAUGCAUUAAAAAUAGUAAAAAUAUUGAUUAAAACUUGUGAGCCUUGUGAGUAUUAAAAUACUUUUAACUCAACUUAAUUAGCUCAUUGAACUACUCAAGCUCGAGCUCAAGUUUGACAUGAUAGCAUAUGAGUUGAGUUCAAAUAUUUUGGUAAUUCAAGCAUGAGUGCUCACAAGUUGCUUACACUCUAGUAACCAUCCUUCUUUAAAUGACUCAAUAUAUUUGAACACUUUGAUCUAGGUCGGUAACUAUUGGACUCAAGUUUUUGAAUUUUCUUUCAAUGUUAGGUGUAGUGACCCAAGUUUACUUCAUCAAAAUUCCUAGAAUUAAGUUCAAAAAGGUUUAUGUAAAAAUGAUCUAAUGGUUAUCGUAUCAAGUCAAAGUGUUUGAGUAACUUGAUGUCUGGAGGUUAAAUCAUCUAUCCAACAGCUUUCUUUGCAAUGCCUCAGUGAAGUUUUCAAGUUCGAGCAGCGCUUGACUUGUUUAUACCUCCAAUAAUCAAUCUUGAGUAAGCAAUCUCAAAUGUCACUUUGAUUUGAGAUAAUAGCUGUUAGAUUUGGACUUUCACACACACACACAUUUAUAUACGUAUCUUUGUUUAGUAUGGUAGCUUUUAGUUAGUUAACUAUAUCAAAGCUAUAAAAACUGAAAGCAACAAAGAUUCAUAUAGAGUUCAGCCAAAUAGCAAUUGUCUCAAGUUAAAAAUGUCUGAGUAUUUUGGCAUUCUGAGGUCGAAUCAUCACAUACCACAUGAGGAAGGUUGGUGGGUUGAGAAAGGUAGGAUGCAUGUUAGAGUUAUGUGAUUGUGUUGUAUAGAGUGUGCUCACUCCUUAUGAAUUAAAUACAGCACAGGCGCCAGAUUUUUUUAGCACAAUUUUUGUUGUCUCAUUUUUCCAAUGGAUCAAUUAAAGAUGCAUUGAUAUAUUUCCAUUAAGGUGCUUUUCUAAUCUUUCUUAUUUAAUGGAGGUUAGGGAGAGUUUAUUGUUUGUAUAAGAGUUGUUUAAGACUGUAAGUCUGUUUAACUUGAAAGGGAAAACAAGUCUCGUCUUUAUAGGCUCUCUGGAGUUUGAAGAUAUCCAAGCUGGAGAUUUUCUGUUAUCGGUUUCCUGCAUCGAACUUACAAUAUUAGAAAUUUCUCAAGUAAUGAAUUAAAUAAGCUAAUGUACAAAUACACCUAUUUUCUAGCAGGGUGACAGGAAUAGCAAGCUCAGGUAUGUUUUAUCCUCCAAUUUUAAUCUUCAUGUAGUUUCAAAAACACCCUCUGUGACUGUGAGGCAGCUCUGGCGACCAUACAUUUACUUUUAUGCAAACUUUUUGAUGAUCAAGGACUAGCUUCAAUAUGAAUAUCUCUGUGAGUUAAAAUCUUUUACUACGAAAUGAAGAAAAAGGGUUUCAUGCACUUUCUUAACAUAUUUCUUGAUUGUAACGCCGAGAAAAGGAGACUUAUGCAACGGUUCUUAUGCAUAUUAGCCUUGUUUGAGAUUGUGUUUAUCGUUAAACCAGUUGGGAUGUAAUAUUGUACUUAUCUUCUUCAACUGCUAAAUUAAAAUCAAAAUCAAUAAAUUGAUUACAUGAUCGAGAGACAUGCUGACCAAUAUGACAAUCAUCAUAUAGUUUGAUUUAAUUAGAUAAGAUAAAAACAGACAUUAGGAUGCAGAAGCAAAAAUGAGGGUAUGCAUGUUCCUGUUUGGUAGAGGUAAUAAUAGUUUGUUUCCAAAGUUAGCCAAUGCGAGGAUGGCAAGGAAGACGAGAGAGCGCAAAAUCAGCUUUUGAUUCUCGAUGUAAUGGAGAGCAGAGGAGAAAACGGAAAGCAAACAAGGAAAUGUGAGCCCAUGAGAAGAAACGGGAACAAAAGGGCAAAGAAAUGGCGUGUGAAGCAUUGGGCCAACAAAAGAUUUCUUUUCACCAAUCAAAGCACCUGAAAAAAGAUGUAUUCAACAUCAGAUCCCACUAAAAUGUUUCAGUACAAGCUAGUAUCGUGGUUAAAUUAAUGGGGUAUGACGGCUGCUGCUGUUUGAUCAGGAAUACAUCGCUCCUUGUUUGGUUUCCAUGGAAGAAGCUAGCUAGCUUAGAAGAUUGAUAUGUUUGCAUGCUUUAUAUUCAUAAAUAGUAAAAGAAUGAAUGAAUUUCAUUAGCAUAUAGGAAGCAAAGGCCAUUGGCAUUUGGCAGUGUGAAUCAUGUUGUUUCCUUUUCCAAGCUUUUGCUUUCUAUUGUAUGGGAUAAUGAU